CCUUCCGCUUCCGCUUCACCCCGCUGCUUGGGGUUUCCGUGGGGUUCUCUUCUCCGCCUCCGAAUCCCCUCUUCAGAUCCGCCCAUUGUUCUUCCUCCGAUCCUCUCCCCGUUCCCAGUUCCUCUCCUGAUUCAUCAGCCUCGCCGAUCUGCCCCGCUGCUUCUUCUGAUCGAUCGAUCAAGAUGCCGAUGCACAUCGACAUCGUGCACCGCCUCUGUGGUGGCCAGCUUGUUGAUCUCAACAGGGUGAAUGCAGGCCCUGACCAUAACCGCGGGGUGCCAGCCAAUGGUGCCCAGCAGUUUAACUGGUCAGGGUUCAGUCUCAUGCUUGGUGCAGCCCAGAUAAUGGUUUUGGCUUGGCAAGUGAUACAUGUGCCGUGGCCUCUGCUGCCUCAGGCUAUAUGGUUUUCAAAUCGCUUUUCCUGUAUAUUAUCAUUGGCACGGUGACAACAACAACCAAGGUGCAGCAGCACCAGCAAGUGCAGGAGCAGGACGUGAUGGUGAAUAAUGCUGUGGAGGAGAACACCAUUCCGGAUGGGGGCAGUCUAGCCUGGAGCGGCUACGCCAUGAUUGUCUUAUCAGUGUUGGCCUUGUGGUCUGGGUUCGUCAGUGAACCAGUGGCGGUCUUCCUGGCCUUCGUGCUUCUGUUGCUUGGUUGUGGCUUUCUUCACGUCGCCAUGCUCGCACCGUCCAAGCCCAAGAUGCUCUGAUCCACGGCGAUACUAAGAAUUUUGGGUAUUGUGUGUUCAUAGGUUUCACAGAAGGAUAUGAAAACAAAACAAAAAAAAGGUUAUGCGUGUAUGUUAUGUGCUCCAUAGAACACCAAUCAUGAAUGCAUAUAUUUAUAGGAGUAUUUGGGAACUAUGUACAGUACCUUACUGCCUUGUAUACAUAGAAGAUAGAACCUUGUGUGAAAUAUGUGUAAUUAAAAUUCAUCUGGGCCUCCUGAUAUAUCAUUUAUUACUGCAAGUCAUAUUACAUUUCAUCA